ACUCAAAGGAAUAGACGGGGGCCCGCACAAGCGGUGGAGCAUGUGGUUUAAUUCGAUGCAACGCGAAGAACCUUACCUACUCUUGACAUCCAGAGGACGAUCCAGAGAUGGAUUGGUGCCGCAAGGAACUCUGAGACAGGUGCUGCAUGGCUGUCGUCAGCUCGUGUCGUGAGAUGUUGGGUUAAGUCCCGUAACGAGCGCAACCCUUAUCCUUAGUUGCCAGCACGUAAAGGUGGGGACUCUGAGGAGACUGCCGGUGAUAAGCCGGAGGAAGGCGGGGACGACGUCAAGUCAUCAUGGCCCUUACGAGUAGGGCUACACACGUGCUACAAUGGGCAGUACAGACGGAAGCGAAGCUGAGAAGUGGAGCGAACCUGAGAAAGCUGUUCGUAGUCCGGAUUGAGGUCUGCAACUCGACCUCAUGAAGUUGGAAUCGCUAGUAAUCGCGAAUCAGCAUGUCGCGGUGAAUACGUUCCCGGGCCUUGCACACACCGCCCGU
rnacentral:rRNA from 1 species